rnacentral:rRNA from 1 species
UACGGGAGGCAGCAGUGGGGAAUAUUGCACAAUGGGCGCAAGCCUGAUGCAGCCAUGCCGCGUGUAUGAAGAAGGCCUUCGGGUUGUAAAGUACUUUCAGUCGUGAGGAAGGUGUUAAGGUUAAUAACCUUAGCAAUUGACGUUAGCGGCAGAAGAAGCACCGGCUAACUCCGUGCCAGCAGCCGCGGUAAUACGGAGGGUGCGAGCGUUAAUCGGAAUUACUGGGCGUAAAGGGCACGCAGGCGGUUAAUUAAGUUGGAUGUGAAAUCCCCGGGCUUAACCUGGGAAUGGCAUUCAAGACUGGUUAGCUAGAGUCUUGUAGAGGGGGUAGAAUUCCAUGUGUAGCGGUGAAAUGCGUAGAGAUGUGGAGGAUACCGGUGGCGAAGGCGGCCCCUGGACAAAGGCUGACGCUCAUGUGCGAAAGCGUGGGGAGCAAAC